UACGAAGGGUGCAAGCGUUAAUCGGAAUUACUGGGCGUACAGGGUGCGUAGGCGGUUCGUUAAGUCUGUUGUGAAAUCCCCGGGCUCAACCUGGGAAUGGCAAUGGAUACUGGCGGGCUAGAGUGUGUCAGAGGAUGGUGGAAUUCCCGGUGUAGCGGUGAAAUGCGUAGAGAUCGGGAGGAACAUCAGUGGCGAAGGCGGCCAUCUGGGACAACACUGACGCUGAGACGCGAAAGCGUGGGGAGCGAACAGG
rnacentral:rRNA from 1 species